GACGAACGCUGGCGGCGUGCUUAACACAUGCAAGUCGAACGGAAAGGCCCUGCUUGCAGGGUACUCGAGUGGCGAACGGGUGAGUAACACGUGGGUGAUCUGCCCUGCACUUCGGGAUAAGCCUGGGAAACUGGGUCUAAUACCGGAUAGGAGCCAUUUUUAGUGUGAUGGUUGGAAAGUUUUUUCGGUGUAGGAUGAGCUCGCGGCCUAUCGGCUUGUUGGUGGGGUAAUGGCCUACCAAGGCGGCGACGGGUAGCCGGCCUGAGAGGGUGGACGGCCAUAUUGGGACUGAGAGACGGCCCAGACUCCUACGGGAGGCAGCAGUGGGGAAUAUUGCACAAUGGGCGCAAGCCUGAUGCAGCGACGCCGCGUGGGGGAUGACGGCCUUCGGGUUGUAAACUCCUUUCGCUAGGGACGAAGCUUUUUGUGACGGUACCUAGAUAAGAAGCACCGGCUAACUACGUG
rnacentral:rRNA from 1 species